UACGUAGGGGGCGAGCGUUGUCCGGAUUUAUUGGGCGUAAAGAGCGUGUAGGCGGCCAGGUAGGUCUGCUGUGAAAACUCGAGGCUCAACCUCGAGACGUCGGCGGAAACCAUCUGGCUAGAGUCCGGAAGAGGAGAGUGGAAUUCCUGGUGUAGCGGUGAAAUGCGCAGAUAUCAGGAAGAACACCCGUGGCGAAGGCAGCUCGCUGGGACGGUACUGACGCUGAGGCGCGAAAGCGUGGGGAGCGAACAGG
rnacentral:rRNA from 1 species